rnacentral:lncRNA from 1 species
GUUCACCAAAUGAUUAACCAUAGUCAGCUUACUUCCUUGUGCGUUUUGUCUUCCAUAGUCUCAUAAUAGUCUUUCAGCUGUUUGUUGUGUAUUUUCUAGCAUGAUGACCUCUCGUUCUUCUUGUGUCUAUGUAUCAGAUAUUUGGUGACUUGACCCCUCUCUUUCUUCUUGCUUUAGUAACUAAGCUUUUUUACGCUUAAUAGAUAUC